rnacentral:tRNA from 1 species
GGACCGCUGGCGCAACGGUAGCGCGUUCGACUCCAGCAAGUAUGGUUAUCGGUUCAUAUCGGGUGUGGUUCA